UACAGAGGGGGCAAGCGUUAUUCGGAAUUAUUGGGCGUAAAGGGCGCGUAGGCGGCUUCGCAAGUGGAAGGUGAAAUCCCUCGGCUUAACCGGGGAACUGCGUCUGAUACUGGAUGGCUAGAGUUUGGGAGAGGGAUGCGGAAUUCCAGGUGUAGCGGUGAAAUGCGUAGAUAUCUGGAGGAACACCGGUGGCGAAGGCGGCAUCCUGGACCAACACUGACGCUGAGGAGCGAAAGCCAGGGGAGCAAACGGG
rnacentral:rRNA from 1 species